rnacentral:rRNA from 1 species
ACUCCGCAGUUAAGCGUGUUUGGGCGAGAGUAGUACUAGGAUGGGUGACCUCCUGGGAAGUACUCGUGUUGCACCCC